CCUAAAGCACAUCACAUCAGAAAUGGUACAAUUGGAGUGGUCCUUUUUUUUGCUUAUUGGGGGCUUUAUUGACCUUUAAUAACCUUCGAGAGAAAAGGCAGGUGGGCAAAAAAAGAUGGAGGUGGGUGGGGUCUAGCUCCUCCUGUGUAACCUUACUUCUCAAUGUACACGCCGAUGACGCUGCUCACGGACUUAUUUGUUUACCGUCCCUGAGCAGGACACACACUGAAGUGGGGUGAUCGAGUCUGCAUCCGUGACCCCAGUGACAUCAUCCGCCCCCGUUCAUAUGACCGCUGCCUUCAUGAAGACAAACAGCUCGGGCCAGUGUCUCUGUCUGAGGACGGGGAAUCACGGGACGGCGCUUUGAAGAAGAAGGCCACCGCGCACACGGGUCAAUCAGAGCCAAGACACUGCUCUCUGGUCAACAAAGGGAGACUCACUUGAUGGCUGCACUCAGCAGGAAGUUGAGCUGCGGCAUCACCAGAGAGUCGGGCGAUGACAAGUACCGAUCAAACUGGAGCUGUUUUAGAGGGAUUCAGAGGAACCAUCCAUACUUGGGAGGAGGGACAGAGGACCCUGUGCAGAGAAAGAAAUCAGCUUAAACUCAAAGCUGGAGCCGAAGUGGCAACAAUGCAGAAGAUGGGAAAAAAAAUCAGACAGGAGCUCUUUUGUGCUUCAAAAAUGUGUAGCUUUCAAACAAAAUACGACACUCUUUCAUAUGACUGGGUUUUUCCGUACUUUAAAAUGUAAAAACGCUAAAAAAAAAUGAAAGCCGGUAGCGGUGUUGCUACCCGCCCCCGGCCUUCACCGCCCCCCUUUGACCCACCUUCACUGGCUUAGCGGCUGCCAUGCCCUGGCCAUACAAAGUCUACAACUUCUAAAACCAAAAUGUUUUUCCAAAGUAGCUUCCCAAUGAGGCUUGAGGAGUUAGAAGCUGAUGGAUCAAAAUCCUGAAGAGGGGUUUCAAUUUGUGGCGGCUGUGUGAAAUUUCAUGAAAAUCACUUGAAGAAAAGUUUCCUUUUCCAAUAUUGUUUGAAAAUGUAAAAAAAAUCGCCAAAUUUCACACUUUGCCACAAAGUGGCCGUCAAGCUGUGAGUCCUAUGACCAUCCCAUGAUAAUUUUAAAACUUCCCUUGGAAGUGUGUUUUGUUAGUGGAUUUUUGAAAUAUGUUUUUGGGCGCCAUAAGAUGGAUUUUUUCGACGGUUUGAGCCACUGUGAUUAUAUAUUUUUUGAAAGUCACAAAGCCAAUAAUUCAUUUUCACCGGGUACUAGGUGGAUGCAAACUCUAGUGAGUUUUUAGGAA